GACGAACGCUGGCGGCGUGCUUAACACAUGCAAGUCGAACGGAAAGGCCCUGCUUUUGUGGGGUUCUCGAGUGGCGAACGGGUGAGUAACACGUGAGUAACCUGCCCUUGACUUUGGGAUAACUUCAGGAAACUGGGGCUAAUACCGGAUAGGAGCUCCUGCUGCAGGGUGGGGGUUGGAAAGUUUCGGCGGUUGGGGCUGGACUCGCGGCUGAUCAGCUUGUUGGUGGGGGAGUGGCUUACCAAGGCUGUGACGGGUAGCCGGCCUGAGAGGGUGACCGGCCACAUUGGGACUGAGGUACGGCCCAGUCUGCUACGGGGGGCAGCAGUGGGGAAUAUUGCACAAUGGGCGGAAGCCUGAUGAAGAGGCGCCGCGUGCGGGAUGACGGCCUUCGGGUUGUAAACCGCUUUCGCCUGUGACGAAGCGUGAGUGACGGUAAUGGGUAAAGAAGCACCGGCUAACUACGUG
rnacentral:rRNA from 1 species